rnacentral:rRNA from 1 species
CACUUCUAAGGAAGGCAGCAGGCGCGCAAAUUACCCAAUCCUGACUCAGGGAGGUAGUGACAAGAAAUAACAAUAAACCGGCUUAUGCCGGUUUAAUUGGAAUGAGUACAAUUUAAACAUCUUAACGAGGAACAAUUGGAGGGCAAGUCUGGUGCCAGCAGCCGCGGUAAUUCCAGCUCCAAUAGCGUAUACUAAAGUUGUUGCAGUUAAAAAGCUCGUAGUUGGAUUUCUGUGGGGACGGAGCGGCCGGCCGCAACUCGCGGUUCGAGCUAGCGCUUUCCCUACAUCCUGCCGCGAACCGUGCUACCAUUAGUUUGGUGGCGCCGGGGAUCGGCUCGAUUACUUUGAGAAAAAUAGAGUGUUCAAAGCAGGCCACACGCCUUGAAUAAGUUAGCAUGGAAUAAUAACUAAGGACUUCGGUUCUAUUUUGUUGGUGUUCGGGACUGAAGUAAUGAUUGAUAGGGACAGUUGGGGCGGUCUGUAUUCCAAAGCGAGAGGUGAAAUUCUUAGACCUUCGGAAGACAAACAGCUGCGAAAGCGUUCCGCAAGGAUGUUCCCUUUGAUCAAGAACGAAAGUUGGGGGAUCGAAGGCGAUCAGAUACCGUCGUAGUCUCAACUAUAAACUAUACCAGCUAGGGAUCGGCCAACGUUAUUUUAUACCGACUUGGUCGGCACCUUAUGAGAAAUCAAAGCAUCUGGGUUCCGGGGGGAGUAUGGUCACAAGGCUGAAACUUAAAGGAAUUGACGGAAGGGCACCACCAGCCGUGGAGCCUGUGGCUUAAUUUGACUCAACACGGGAAAACUUACCAGGUCCAGACAUAGUAAGGAUUGACAGAUUGAUAGCUCUUUCUUGAUUCUGUGGGUGGUGGUGCAUGGCCGUUCUUAGUUGGUGGAGUGAUUUGUCUGGUUAAUUCCGUUAACGAACGAGACCCCAGCCUGCUAAAUAGCGCGCGUGAGCUUUGCUCGCGGCGAGCUUCUUAGAGGGACUAUGAUGCGCGAUAGCACAUGGAAGUUUGGGGCAAUAACAGGUCUGUGAUGCCCUUAGAUGUUCUGGGCCGCACACGGGCUACACUGGCGCCUGCAACGAGCAUAUCAGCUGGCCCGAGAGGGUCUUGGCUAAUCUUUUGAACCGGCGCCGUGCUUGGGAUUGACCUUUGCAAUUGUUGGUCAUGCAACGAGGAAUGCCUUGUAAACGCGAGUCAUCAGCUCGCAUUGAAUACGUCCCUGCCCUUUGUACACACCGCCCGUCGCUCCUACCGAUGAAUGUUCCGAUGAAAUUUUCGGAGAGCACCUGUGAACUUGGCUCUGCCUUGCGAACGGGAGGCUCAAAGUCACUUAAAUCUGAACAUUUCGAGG